rnacentral:rRNA from 1 species
CUUAAAUGAAUUGACGGGACCGCACAAGCGGUGGAUGAUGUGGUUAAUUCGAUGCAACGCGAAAACCUUACCCACCUUGACAUGUACGGAAUCCUUUAGAGAUAGAGGAGUGCUCGAAAGAGAACCGUAACACAGGUGCUGCAUGGCUGUCGUCAGCUCGUGUCGUGAGAUGUUGGGUUAAGUCCCGCAACGAGCGCAACCCUUGUCAUUAGUUGCUACAUUCAGUUGGGCACUCUAAUGAGACUGCCGGUGACAAACCGGAGGAAGGUGGGGAUGACGUCAAGUCCUCAUGGCCCUUAUAGGUGGGGCUACACACGUCAUACAAUGGAUGGUACAAAGGGUCGCCAACCCGCGAGGGGGAGCCAAUCCCAUAAAGCCAUUCGUAGUCCGGAUCGCAGUCUGCAACUCGACUGCGUGAAGUCGGAAUCGCUAGUAAUCGUGGAUCAGAAUGUCACGGUGAAUACGUUCCCGGGUCUU